AACGAACGCUGGCGGCAGGCUUAACACAUGCAAGUCGAGCGCCCCGCAAGGGGAGCGGCAGACGGGUGAGUAACGCGUGGGAAUCUACCCAGCUCUACGGAAUAACCCAGGGAAACUUGGACUAAUACCGUAUACGUCCUUCGGGAGAAAGAUUUAUCGGAGUUGGAUGAGCCCGCGUCGGAUUAGCUAGUUGGUGGGGUAAUGGCCCACCAAGGCGACGAUCCGUAGCUGGUCUGAGAGGAUGAUCAGCCACACUGGGACUGAGACACGGCCCAGACUCCUACGGGAGGCAGCAGUGGGGAAUAUUGGACAAUGGGCGCAAGCCUGAUCCAGCCAUGCCGCGUGAGUGAUGAAGGCCCUAGGGUUGUAAAGCUCUUUCACCGGUGAAGAUAAUGACGGUAACCGGAGAAGAAGCCCCGGCUAACUUCGUGCCAGCAGCCGCGGUAAUACGAAGGGGGCUAGCGUUGUUC
rnacentral:rRNA from 1 species